AGGUAAACCCAGCAGAUGGUGAACUUCUGAAACGCGAAGUAAUGUGCCUGCUAAAUCAAAAGUUUAAAAUAUUUGAAAUCUGUUUGUUUUAAAUUAGUAGACUUGCACUCAGGUCAUCUGUGAAGUACACUGGCAGUUUUACACACCGUCCAAAUAAACUCGAGAUUUGUACCUGUAUCAUGAGCUAGCUAAUCUGCCAAAGAAGAUGAGAGCAAGGAGCCAGCCUUAGGAGUUUAGUUCUGACAUCCAUGAGGCGUCUAAUGGGUCACAUUUCGGAAGACAAACCAGUGUGUGGAGAUCUGAUCUGGAUCAGUCUUGGUUGGGAUUUGAAUGCUGGCAGUGCUUCUGGUACAAUACAUGUGUUCUGGAUCAGAGCAGAUGUGGGUGCCCAAAUCUUUCUGAGGAGUGCAGAGAAGGCAACCAGCUACCUACAGCUCAGUGUUAGGUGUCCAACAUCACUGUGCUGUAGCACAGCUGCAUGUGUGGAAUAUUCCUUACAAGGCAGCACUUUUUCAGGCAUCUGAGUGCAGCAGAAGACCCU